AAUAAAGGCAGGGGCUUGCCAGAUUUUAUAGAUUUUGUAGAUGAUGCUAAUGAUUCUGAUAUUUGUUUUAGGUGUAAUGAGAUUCACUGAAGAAUUCUAAGAGUGGAAUGAGCAACAGAUUUUCAUUAGCGAAAGCUCCUCUAGCUGCUGCAUGAAAUGAUGGCUAGACAGAGUAUGCCCAGAAUCCUAGCCCAGGAAUACCAAUGCGUAAAUGGCGACAGUAGAGCCAGCCUUCAUGAAUCCAGAAAUGUGAGCCACAUUUUGAGGAUAGCAGAGUCACUGCAGAAGCCUGGAUCCUUGUAUAAACUUGUCGAGUGGGAAAAUCUACCCAUACUUGACCAACCACCUAACUGGGGGCUCUUACAUCUGAGAGAAAUAAUUUUUUAUCUUAUUUAAGCCACUGUAGUUAGG
rnacentral:lncRNA from 1 species